rnacentral:rRNA from 1 species
GACGAACGCUGGCGGCGUGCUUAACACAUGCAAGUCGAACGGAAAGGCCCUGCUUUUGUGGGGUGCUCGAGUGGCGAACGGGUGAGUAACACGUGAGUAACCUGCCCUUGACUUUGGGAUAACUUCAGGAAACUGGGGCUAAUACCGGAUAGGAGCUCCUGCUGCAUGGUGGGGGUUGGAAAGUUUCGGCGGUUGGGGAUGGACUCGCGGCUUAUCAGCUUGUUGGUGGGGUAGUGGCAUACCAAGGCUUUGACGGGUAGCCGGCCUGAGAGGGUGACCGGCCACAUUGGGACUGAGGUACGGCCCAGACUCCUACGGGAGGCAGCAGUGGGGAAUAUUGCACAAUGGGCGGAAGCCUGAUGCAGCAACGCCGCGUGCGGGAUGACGGCCUUCGGGUUGUAAACCGCUUUCGCCUGUGACGAAGCGUGAGUGACGGUAAUGGGUAAAGAAGCACCGGCUAACUACGUG